UCUGGCUUCUUUCAUAUGGCUAUUGUCUUUUUUUCUUUUGAAGAAAACAUCUGUGUUCUUAUGUCUUCUGUCUAGUCUUGACAUCACAAAGGCAAAAGUAAUGUGAGGCUUCUGGGCAGGCGGGACACAACACUUGGUGGCUUCUUCCCACAGUACCUGAGACCGCUGGUGCAUCCUGAGCUAAGAUUCUCGCUUUAAACUUCUGGGAAGUUGAGGAGGAGAAUACAACAUGGAAAGAAAGGUGAAGAGAAUUAGAAGAGAAUGAACAGAAUGAAGAAGCAGGUUUUCUAGAGAAAAGAUAACACAUCUGUCCAGAUGAUGGUUUUUCCUUCAAAGGGAAAGCUUCUGUUCAGGACAUAAAAUUGGGCUUGUCCACAUCAUUUCCAGGAGAACUUGGCAGGUGGAAAACCAUCAAGUGUUGCCAGUGACAUUCAGUCCCUAAAGCAGCUUUUAUUUCAGACAUAGCCGACCUGGCACAACCACUACCUCCCACAGUGGGCUCCAGGGCAGUGCUGCCCUUGAACCCAACGAGCAAGUGUGUCUGUGCUAAGGCAACAUGUUGAGGGGGAGUCUGAGGAGCCAUGAUAGACCCUGUUAAUGAACAAAUAAUUUAGAUGGAAGGACUGGCACAGCCACGAUGAUGGAAAACAGUAUGGACAUUCUGCAAAAAUUGAAGCAGAACUGACAUAUAACCUAGUGAUUCCAAUUCGGGACAUUUAUCUGAAGGAACAAAAUCACUAUCUCAAGACGAUAUCUGCACCCUCACGUUCACGGCAGCAUUAUUCACAGUAGCCACGAUGUGGAAACAACUUAAGUGUCCAUAGAUGGAUGAAUGGAUAAAGAAAAUGUGGGGUAUAUAAAUGGAAUAUUAUUCAGUCAUGAAAAGGAAAUCCAGCUCUUUGUGACAAUAUGGGUGGACUUGAGGGCAUUAUGCUGAGUCAAAUAUGUCAGAGAAAGACAAUAUCACAUGAUGUCAAUUAAAUGUGAAUUGUUUUUAAAAAAAACCAAAGCUCAUAGAUACAGAGAACAGACUGGUGGCUGUCGGAGGUGAGAUGGCGGACAAAAUGGGUGAAGGCAGCCAAAAGAUACACCCUUCCAGUUAAGAUGAUAAAUAAGUUCUGGGACCAUCAUUACCAUGUGAUGACUAUAGCUAAUAUGACUGUAUUGUGUAUUUCAACAUUGCUAAGAGAGCAAAUCUUAAAAGUUCUCAAGAAAAACAGCAACUAAUGACAUGAUGGAUGUCAACUUUACUGUUGAGGAUCAGUUUACAAUAUAUGCAUCCAUCAGAUCAUCAUGCUAUCUGUCUAGAAUAAUACAAUAUUAUAUGUCAUCUAUUAUCUCAAUAAAACAGGGCAUUUAUCUGAAGAAACAAGAUCUGAAUACCAAGUAGAAAGGGGCCAAGAAGAGACAGGAGUGGUGGAAGCCUGGAUUUCACACCUGCCUCCCAGCAGCCUACUCUUCCUAUGCAGUUGAUUUUGGCCUUUGAAGAGGAGAUAAAUCAUUCAGUUGCCAGGUGUCCCCUGCUCUUGAUGAAUGCAAAUGACUGCUAACAGCCGUGUAAUCCGAUUCCCUGUUGGUUAUUGUGUAGACCCCAGCUCAUGGACUGGCUGACUCUUUUUAGUCUGGGCAUGAGUUGCAAUUGCCAUCUGGCUAAUGCCAACACAGCGGAGCAGGAAGAUGCAGGCCACCCUCACGCUGUAGGGUUCUACACCUUGAGUCUCAGGUUCCACCCACAAGGAGACAGCUGCCUGCCUCUUGGACACUCCCCACUCUGCAGCCUUGUCAGAGCCACUGCACAAUCCUGCAGCGAGUCCUCAAACUCAUGCAGUGACAAGCGCGAGCAUCUCCCCCGAGAAUAAUGCCACGGCGCGCUCUCGCCGAGUCGGUACUCAGAGGACACUGCUCCAAUGCCGCUGAGCAUUACCGUCCCUGGGAGGAUAAUCACAGAUGUUUUCCCCCAUCCCUUCCUCUUCCCUUGAUCUGCAUAGUUGUCAACAAAUGAGGUCACUGUGCCUUUACUGGCGAUUGUGCGCUCAGCCACGGAGCUGUAAGUUCAACGCCACGAUUACACAUCAGCGCUGGUAAGGAGAGAUGACAUCGGUCCCCAAAUCUGCCAGCCAGGCAGCCACCUCUCUGCAGCAGAAUGCCACUCAGACUUGGGCAUCUCUUUUUCUAGGCCACCCCUUUGCUGACAUUUCAAGAAUGUUGAAGUUUAAAAAAAAAUCUUGCUUAGGAGAUCAAGCACAAACUCUCAUGUUUCUGAAUGUAAAGAAAAAAAAAAAAAAAACCAAAACACCACAAUGCAGCUUGAUUAUUGGAAUAUUAUGCUUGUAUCUCUUCCAGGAGCCAUGUCAACCCUCACACCGGCUGUUAACAGUCAUCUGCAUUCAUCAAGAGCAGGGGACACCUGGCAACUUAAUGAUUUAUCUCCUCAUCAAAGGCCAAAAUUGUCUGCGUAGGAAGAGUAGGCUGCCGGGAAUGCCAGGCGGAGGCCGGUGUGCAAUCCAGGCUUCCAACGCUCCUGUCUCUUCUUGGCCCUUCCUACUGCUAAUCCGUAUUACACUUGGCUGCAGAGAGGGCAGCUCCUUUUUUGCCAGAUCGGCGCGGGCUGCUGUGGAACUUAGACUGCAAAGGGCUCCCGAUUCAGAGGAAAAGGGAUUAUCUUUAUAAAAUGGCACUCAAGGAGUGUGG